GCCAGGAAGCCAGCUCUGCACACAGCACCUCCCCGUGAGCACACACUUUCUGCUGCCAACACAUCAGGUCUGGCAUUUUUGUCAUUAUUCUCAGUGUCUCCCACGCCUUGCAAAGCAAAUAUGCCAUGUCUACUUGUAGUGUUACUUACUUGUAGCCUUCAACUGGCAAAUAUUUUCUUCAGUGUGUCCUCAAAAGAACUGAGGAGGAUGAGGAAGAGAGCUCUGGCCUCCAGGGAAGAAGCUAGCCAGGUGAUCUGGUGAUCUGCCUCUGCCAUCUUAAUGCCCAGAGAAAUGAAUUGAAUUGGGCUGGUGAUUAAUCCUCCAAGGCCAAGUAUUUUAAACUACAAAGCUCUGACCAUGAAAUACCCAAAGUGCUCAAAUACCCUGGUGCAAAGUACCCUAGUGCCUAAAGGCUGCAAAUGAGAGGUGAGCAAAGGAAAGAAAAGGCUAUCUCUGCUCUUGAAUUUUGGUUAAAACCAGUAGGUAGCUGGGUAGGUCAGCAUCCUGCUUGCCUUGACACUGGAGAUCUGGUGCUGAAGGUACAGCCAUCUCCAGCGACUUUGUGCCCAGCCUCUGCCGGGGUGGGAGGUCGGGAUGGCCCCAGCACUGCAGCAGAUGCUGACUGAUGGAUGGCACCCAGGUGGAAUCAAGGCUCCCCGAGAUGGUCCAUAUGCUGCUCAUCAACCCGCAGCUGUUCUGCAGUGAGUGUCCCACAGCAACUACAGGAGCAACACAGACAUAUUCUCACAGCUGAUCGGUGACUUCUCCUGCUGUUCCUAGGUCUUCUUUGCAAGCCUGCAGUACAAAGCUUCCCAUUUAUGUGCUGUGACCAUGCUGUCAAGGUAACUGCAAUCACAUCUCCUGCAGUGGGGUUUUCUGGUUCAUUCAGACAGCCUUUAUCCAAGCACCCUCUGGUGAUGCCCCUGUGCCUGCACAGUGCUACAGAAGACAGAACAGCCUGCAGUGAACUGCUGGAAACCUUGGGCCAUCCUGCCUCUUCCCCACUCCCAACCUGCCCAUCAGUGUGACUGGGAAGGGCCAGUCGUUACUGGGAAGGACAGCAGAGCUCUUCUGGCUGCUUGGAGCAAGGGUGAAAGAUCUCAGAGAAGGUGCAGACAUAAUCUGUGCUUUAUUAGCACAGCCACCAAGGACCUAAUUUGAAAGAGGCUGCAGUUCAGCGGCAGGAGGGAUUUAAACACUGUUAAGACUGACAUUUUCCCUCAUCUCACAUCCCGUGGGGUACCUGAUUGCAAAUUUAUAAUACACCAGAGGUCUCGCCAUCAGAAGAUACAGACUUACAGUAACAGCAACUAAUUUAAAAAAGAUCUCCAGCGCAUCAGUGUCUGGGGCUGGUUUACACAGACUAAUUAAUCCUUAUUUGACCUGAAUUAACUCUUAAUCUGUGUGAAAUGAAAGAGCUUUACUGGGAUACAGCAAAUUUUAAAAGAUGGAAAAUCCAUUCAGAACAGGAGGUUUCUGCAGCUGGGUGACUCGUGGAUUAAAAUGCUUGCUGGCUGCUGCUGUGGAAAAUUAGCUCGCUCUUUUUUUUUUUUUUUUUUUUUUUUUU